rnacentral:lncRNA from 1 species
GACCGGAGAGAAAAGAUGCAGAGAAACACAAAUUCAACAGAGUUCAUAGUUGUGGCAGUGGUUCCAAUCUACCUACCAUUUAAAAACGCAGAGGAAAAAAAUGCUCCUUUUCAAUUAAACCUGUGAGGAAAUGCAGAAAAUUCUCAUCCACCAAAUUUCAAAGAACUUGAACCUAUUACUGUGGCUACUUCUUAAUUUAUAUAUCAAAGCAUGUCAAGUUUCCUGUACAAUAAAAACAAAGAGAAAUCAUAAUAUAUCAACUAGAAAUAAGGGUAAGUUUCCAGUAGCAGAGGCAUCAUUAUAGGGAUUGAAAACAUUAUAAAUUUAGCUUUUUUUUUACUUAAAAUUGAAAAUCAUCACCUAUAUUGUAACCUACAAAUUUAUAGAUUUACACUUUUUCAUGUGGCAAAGAUGAUCAACAAUCUAUGUCUAAAAUCACACAAAGAUAGAACAACCUAAUCUAAUAUAUGGCAAGAAGAUAAUUUAAACAUGGAUUAAAAUUAACAACUUCAAUUUUUAUCUUUAAAUAUUUCCUCAUAUACAUUCACAAACCACAACAAGCAAGUGAGGGUGUUUCAAAU